rnacentral:rRNA from 1 species
ACAAGGUGACAGGUGGUGCAUGGUUGUCGUCAGCUCGUGUCGUGAGAUGUUGGGUUAAGUCCCGCAACGAGCGCAACCCUUAUUACUAGUUGCCAGCAUUCAGUUGGGCACUCUAGUGAGACUGCCGGUGACAAACCGGAGGAAGGUGGGGAUGACGUCAAAUCAUCAUGCCCCUUAUGACCUGGGCUACACACGUGCUACAAUGGCGUAUACAACGAGUUGCCAACCCGCGAGGGUGAGCUAAUCUCUUAAAGUACGUCUCAGUUCGGAUUGUAGGCUGCAACUCGCCUACAUGAAGUCGGAAUCGCUAGUAAUCGCGGAUCAGCACGCCGCGGUGAAUACGUUCCCGGGUCUUGUACACACCGCCCGUCACACCAUGAGAGUUUGUAACACCCAAAGCCGGUGGGG